rnacentral:rRNA from 1 species
AGGGAAUCUUCCACAAUGGACGAAAGUCUGAUGGAGCAACGCCGCGUGAGUGAUGAAGGGUUUCGGCUCGUAAAACUCUGUUGUUGGAGAAGAACGGGUGUCAGAGUAACUGUUGACAUCGUGACGGUAUCCAACCAGAAAGCCACGGCUAACUACGUGCCAGCAGCCGCGGUAAUACGUAGGUGGCAAGCGUUGUCCGGAUUUAUUGGGCGUAAAGCGAGCGCAGGCGGUUUUUUAGGUCUGAUGUGAAAGCCUUCGGCUUAACCGGAGAAGUGCAUCGGAAACCGGGAGACUUGAGUGCAGAAGAGGACAGUGGAACUCCAUGUGUAGCGGUGAAAUGCGUAGAUAUAUGGAAGAACACCAGUGGCGAAGGCGGCUGUCUGGUCUGCAACUGACGCUGAGGCUCGAAAGCAUGGGUAGCGAACAGGAUUAGAUACCCUGGUAGUCCAUGCCGUAAACGAUGAGUGCUAAGUGUUGGAGGGUUUUCCGCCCUUCAGUGCUGCAGCUAACGCAUUAAGCACUCCGCCUGGGGGAGUACGACCGCAAGGUUGAAAC